AAUGAUCGAAAUUAUUAACGACGUUGCAAUCUCAUCUCAAACAGGCAGGCGAUCAUGUUGAGAAACUUUAUCGGAAUUGUGUGUAUUUAAAUCUGAAAAUCGAGGAGGAUGAAUUUGAAGAUUGUAAGAAACCCAAUGUUCUGGCUUUAGAUUGCGCAUUUCGAUACUCCAUCUCGGUAUGGAAUCCCACGACACCAAAGAUAACGAAGACGAUGAUGACUUCUUCGACACUCUCGAUGAGUUCCCAUCGGAGGAUUCUUCCGUCACCGAUCAACCUCAACUUUCCACUUCACUUUCCUCCAUUUCCGAUUCUUCUCCCGUACUUGAAACCUCGUCCGAGAAUGAAUUCUCAUCUGUCGCUUCAUUACGCCAUCGCCCCUCUUCUCGCCGUAGAAUGGCAGGCGAGACUCCGAGCUCAGAUUCCUCUAUCAGUUCCCUAACAAGUUCAAUCGACGAUUCGGUGAUGAUGAGCCCCGAAUGGAAAACCCCAGAAAUUCACCCGAAUUUUAUUGACGAUGUAAAGAAACUCGAGGGAUCCGAGGCUUUAUCCGUUCAAGUAAGCUCGUGGGGAGGUUCGAGUAGCGUGAAGGAUGAGAAGAGUGAGGUAUCGACGGUGACUACUGUGGAGACUAAUUCGGGCGGCGAAUUGGGCGUUUCGGAGGCGGAAUCCGGCCAUUCUUCUUCAAACCUACUUAUGUUAAUUGUAGGAUUGCUCAUCAAGGCAAUUGGGGUUCAACUUAGCUUCUUCGUCUACAGUUUCUGCUUUCCCUUGUGGUUUUUAUAUCAUUCUUACACGUUUGUUUUUCAUCCUUUUCAAACAAUUAAGCUUGGGAGAGCAUAUGUGACAGGAAAGUUAUUUGGGUUUUGUGAACUUGUUACUGCUGUGGUCAGUCCUUUGAUAUCUGAACGGUUGAAGGAACCCAAGUCUCUUUGGAAAGCUGGACUCCGCUGUGUGUGGGGCUUUCUGUGGUCGGCUUAUGUUUGUAUCAUUUUGUGUGGUCUCUUGAUUUCGGCGCUUAUAUUUGGUGGGUUUUUGAUGAGGUUCUUAGUUCAGGAGCCUGUUAAGAUCAAAGAAGUACUAAAUUUUGACUAUACCAAACACAGUCCUGAGGCUUAUAUGCCAAUCUUACCUGAUUCAGAUGUUCUUUAUGGUCGGAAUUGUAAAGAAAAUGUCGUAAGUGGGAAGACCCAGUCGCGUGUUAUUCCUCAUCAUCAUCAUUUGCAGGCCAUUGUCUCACUAACAUUGCCAGAGUCUGAAUAUAACAGAAAUCUUGGGGUCUUCCAGGUAAGAGUAGACUUUCUUUCUGUAAGUGGUGACGUUCUUGCAAGCUCAAGCCACCCAUGCAUGUUGCAGUUUAAAAGCGAGCCCAUUCGCCUUUUACUGACUAUCCUGAAGCUUGCACCCCUUGUUACGGGCUAUAUAUCAGAGUCCCAGACUCUGAAUCUUAAGCUUAAAGGUCUCGCCGAAGGAAAUGUACCGACAGCCUGUCUGCGGGUUACAAUUGAACAACGAGCAGAGUUCAGUCCUGGUGCUGGUAUACCCGAAAUAUAUGAUGCAUCCUUAAUCCUUGAAUCCGAACUCCCCUUGUUUAAAAGGAUUAUAUGGUAUUGGAGGAAGACUCUCUAUGUCUGGAUUAGCAUGACAUCGUUUAUGAUGCAGUUGCUUUUUAUGCUGGUCUGUUGUCGACCGAUAAUCCUUCCUAGAAUGAGGAUGAGGAGAAGGGAUGAAUCUGCUAAUGUAAGCUCCACGAGGAACGACAUCUAGGCAUGAGUCAAUGGGGAUGAUGAUAAGAGAGCAGAUCAUAUUUAUGACUAUACAGUUCUAGAAGCCAUUUCAACUCGGCUCGAACAACUCAAAGGGCAAUUUCUUGUGGUAACCUACAUUAGACUGAAGUUCUAUGCACUGUUAACCGGGUUUUCAUUGUGUGUAUGAUCUCACCAGGGCUACACAAUUGGGGCGAAAAGAACGUUCAUGUGCAGGAUUCAAAACCUCGAACUUUUAUUUGUCAUCAUCAGAACUUGAAGCUGUGUAACGUGUGCAUUGAUGACAAGAGUUCAUGUGAACUUCUGCGCAACCAUCAUAGUUUGAACUUUUUCUAAUUUAGAUGUGGGAUUCUUAGUUUGGUUCGUGUUCCAACGCGAAUCUAGUUCAUGUGACAUCAAAUACUUGUUCAUUUCCAUAUCUUUUGAUAAUACAGAAGUAGAAAUGCUUGGUAACUGGAAGCUCAUCUAUAGUAAAGUUUAAAGUACAAGAAAGAAAAAAAAAAGAGUCCUUUCGAUAUAACCCCUUUGGUGUCUCAAAAGUUUUCAUGGGGUGACAUGACGACUUUUGAGGAACGAUGCACUUCGAGCAAUCUCUCGUAGAGGCCCCAAGCUUCUGGCUGGAUUCA